AUACGUAGGGGGCAAGCGUUAUCCGGAUUUACUGGGUGUAAAGGGAGCGUAGACGGCGAUGCAAGUCUGAAGUGAAAACCCGGGGCUCAACCCCGCGGACUGCUUUGGAAACUGUGUUGCUGGAGUGCAGGAGAGGUGAGUGGAAUUCCUAGUGUAGCGGUGAAAUGCGUAGAUAUUAGGAGGAACACCAGUGGCGAAGGCGGCUCACUGGACUGUAACGGACGUUGAGGCUCGAAAGCGUGGGGGGCAAACAGGAUUAGAUACCCUGGUAGUCCACGCCGUAAACGAUGAAUGCUAGGUGUCGGGGGGCAAAGCCCUUCGGUGCCGCCGCUAACGCAUUAAGCAUUCCACCUGGGGAGUACGUUCGCAAGAAUGAAACUCAAAUGAAUUGACGGGG
rnacentral:rRNA from 1 species